rnacentral:rRNA from 1 species
AGCGUAGACGGUUAAGCAAGUCUGAAGUGAAAGCCCGGGGCUCAACCCCGGUACUGCUUUGGAAACUGUUUGACUUGAGUGCAGGAGAGGUAAGUGGAAUUCCUAAUGUAGCGGUGAAAUGCGUAGAUAUUAGGAGGAACACCAGUGGCGAAGGCGGCUUACUGGACUGUAACUGACGUUGAGGCUCGAAAGCGUGGGGAGCAAACA